UCUUAUCAAAAGACCAAACAAAUUAUUCAUUGCCAAACCAGAAAGUACCAUUCAUGUACAUCAGGAAAAGAACAUUUAUAACUAAAAUAGCACCCCCACAUUAAGAUCAGUCAACUGCUAUGAAUCUAAAAACUCAGGGGGUACAUACAAUUGAUCCAAGCAAAGCACUCACCGUACAUGAAUUACACACCUCUGGCAGCUUCCUACUUCAAUCCUAGUACAGACUACAGCCCCAUCAGUGAACCAUGGGAGGAAGAGAAAAGCAAGCAACAGUCGAUCAUCUUCAAGACAGGAAGAAACCGGAUCAUAAACUGGAAGAAAAAUUGGGACAGCAGAACCCUCACCUCAUAAUGGACCUUGUGUUUCUUGUCUCUCAUGCAGGUU
rnacentral:lncRNA from 1 species